rnacentral:misc_RNA from 1 species
GAUUUUUCAACAAUGGCUGCAUCAGUUUUCUCUAAAGUCUCUACAGCUGAGGAUGCACGAACAGAGAAGUGCUGUUUAGUGACGGUAGUGGAAGGAAGAAUACGACGGUGAGAGGAAGUGAAAGGGGUGGAUUUAAGGCCAGAAAAAGUGGAGAAAGAGAUAGAAGGAGAAGAGGAAGAAGAUGAGCCAUGGCGAGGGAGAGAAGGAGAGAAAAUAGCUUGAGAAAGAGUGAGAGAAGAUGAAGAAGCCAUGGCUCUGUUUGUGUG